GGGGGGACGGAGAAGGCUAUGUUGGCCGGGCGACGGUUGUCCCGGUUUAAGCGUGUAGGUGUGUGUUCCAGGUAAAUCCGGUUCACUUUAACACUGAGGCGUGACGACGAGGCACUACGGUGCUGAAGCAACAAAUGCCCUGCUUCCAGGAAAAGCCUCUAAGCAUCAGGUAACAUCAAAUCGUACCCCAAACCGACACAGGUGGUCAGGUAGAGAAUACCAAGGCGCUUGAGAGAACUCGGGUGAAGGAACUAGGCAAAAUGGUGCCGUAACUUCGGGAGAAGGCACGCUGACACGUAGGUGAAGUGAUUUACUCAUGGAGCUGAAGUCAGUCGAAGAUACCAGCUGGCUGCAACUGUUUAUUAAAAACACAGCACUGUGCAAACACGAAAGUGGACGUAUACGGUGUGACGCCUGCCCGGUGCCGGAAGGUUAAUUGAUGGGGUCAGCGCAAGCGAAGCUCCUGAUCGAAGCCCCGGUAAACGGCGGCCGUAACUAUAACGGUCCUAAGGUAGCGAAAUUCCUUGUCGGGUAAGUUCCGACCUGCACGAAUGGCGUAAUGAUGGCCAGGCUGUCUCCACCCGAGACUCAGUGAAAUUGAACUCGCUGUGAAGAUGCAGUGUACCCGCGGCAAGACGGAAAGACCCCGUGAACCUUUACUAUAGCUUGACACUGAACAUUGAGCCUUGAUGUGUAGGAUAGGUGGGAGGCUUUGAAGUGUGGACGCCAGUCUGCAUGGAGCCGACCUUGAAAUACCACCCUUUAAUGUUUGAUGUUCUAACGUGGACCCGUUACCCGGGUUGCGGACAGUGUCUGGUGGGUAGUUUGACUGGGGCGGUCUCCUCCUAAAGAGUAACGGAGGAGCACGAAGGUUGGCUAAUCCUGGUCGGACAUCAGGAGGUUAGUGCAAUGGCAUAAGCCAGCUUGACUGCGAGCGUGACGGCGCGAGCAGGUGCGAAAGCAGGUCAUAGUGAUCCGGUGGUUCUGAAUGGAAGGGCCAUCGCUCAACGGAUAAAAGGUACUCCGGGGAUAACAGGCUGAUACCGCCCAAGAGUUCAUAUCGACGGCGGUGUUUGGCACCUCGAUGUCGGCUCAUCACAUCCUGGGGCUGAAGUAGGUCCCAAGGGUAUGGCUGUUCGCCAUUUAAAGUGGUACGCGAGCUGGGUUUAGAACGUCGUGAGACAGUUCGGUCCCUAUCUGCCGUGGGCGCUGGAGAACUGAGGGGGGCUGCUCCUAGUACGAGAGGACCGGAGUGGACGCAUCACUGGUGUUCGGGUUGUCAUGCCAAUGGCACUGCCCGGUAGCUAAAUGCGGAAGAGAUAAGUGCUGAAAGCAUCUAAGCACGAAACUUGCCCCGAGAUGAGUUCUCCCUGAGACUUAGAGUCUCCUGAAGGAACGUUGAAGACGACGACGUUGAUAGGCCGGGUGUGUAAGCGCAGCGAUGCGUUGAGCUAACCGGUACUAAUGAACCGUGAGGCUUAACCUUACAACGCCGAAGAUGUUUUGGCGGAUGAGAAGACGAUUUUCAGCACUGAUU
rnacentral:rRNA from 1 species